AUGGCGGCGGCAAUGCCAGCACAAGGGCUUGGUGGGCGGAAAAGACAUGAUGAUUUAUGGACAUACUUUACACAUAAUCCAGCAGAAAAUAAAACGGAAUGCCUUGUAGUGGGAGACAGAGGUACACGCUGUGGCUAUAAACUACGUGGCAAGAAUACGACCAAUCUCAAGAGGCAUCUAAAGGCUCACCAUGCUGCUAUUUCUGCGACGAAUGGCGCGUCAAAACGGCGCGUUGAUAAACUCUUCCCUUGCCUACAUCAGCAAGGGAGAUGAUCCCCACGCCCCCCCCCUCUGGAUUCCCACCCACUGUAUGGAUUGCCCGCCCAACUCAAAAGUUGCUGUUUGUCCUACCAAGCCUACUGCGCAUGCGCGAAGCCUACUGCACAUGCGCGAAGCCUACUGCGCAUGCGCAGAACACAUGACUACAUUUUGUAGUGAGGAGCCAUAGAAGACACAACAUGGAAAUUGCGCUGUACAUGGAUGUGACAACACAGAAAGGAGUCUGUUUUUACUGCCGACGGGAGAGCCCCUGAAGACGCAGUGGCUUAAUUUUAUUUACUUCAAUAAUACACUGUCGAGUCUACCUAAGACGGUGUAUGUUUGUCAGAAGCAUUUUCCUGAUGAAUGUUUUGCACAUCAACUGUCACUGAAGCCUGGGUCUGUGCCAAGCAUCCCUGCCGCAUCAGCAACAAACACCGAACAAACAUCUAAUUUUUGGGUUUGUUUACCUGACAUGUUUCGACGUACAACUUCCAUCUUCCUCAGAG